rnacentral:lncRNA from 1 species
AUAAUUUACACCAACUUCCCAACCUCGGUUGCCAUUGAGAUUAGAGUAUAAGUAAGGGAGAGACACAAAAGACCACAAAGCAUGGUGUCUCGACCCACAGGUAGUGCCCAAGAUCACUUAGCCCGGGCUCCUACGUAUAGUCCUAAUUUGGGAAUGACAUAAAGUCAAGUACACAAGAUCACUUAGCCUGGUACCAAAUUU